rnacentral:rRNA from 1 species
CGAGAUGAGUUCUCCCUGACCCUUUGAGAGUCCUGAAGGAACGUUGAAGACGACGACGUUGAUAGGCCGGGUGUGUAAGCGCAGCGAUGCGUUGAGCUAACCGGUACUAAUGAACCGUGAGGCUUAACCUUACAACGCCGAAGCUGUU